rnacentral:rRNA from 1 species
CCUACGGGAGGCAGCAGUGGGGAAUAUUGCACAAUGGGCGGAAGCCUGAUGCAGCGACGCCGCGUGAGGGAUGAAGGCCUUCGGGUUGUAAACCUCUUUCAGCAGGGACGAAGCGUGAGUGACGGUACCUGCAGAAGAAGCACCGGCUAACUACGUGCCAGCAGCCGCGGUAAUACGUAGGGUGCGAGCGUUGUCCGGAAUUACUGGGCGUAAAGAGUUCGUAGGCGGUUUGUCGCGUCGUUUGUGAAAACCCGGGGCUCAACUUCGGGCUUGCAGGCGAUACGGGCAGACUUGAGUGUUUCAGGGGAGACUGGAAUUCCUGGUGUAGCGGUGAAAUGCGCAGAUAUCAGGAGGAACACCGGUGGCGAAGGCGGGUCUCUGGGAAACAACUGACGCUGAGGAACGAAAGCGUGGGUAGCAAACAGGAUUAGAUACCCUGGUAGUCCACGCCGUAAACGGUGGCGCUAGGUGUGGGUUCCUUCCACGGGAUCUGUGCCGUAGCUAACGCAUUAAGCGCCCCGCCUGGGGAGGUACGGCGCGAGACGUAACUACAAGAAGUAGACGGCGNGAGACGNGCCGACGACGACGACGAGGGAGUAGG